GAUGAACGCUAGCGACAGGCUUAACACAUGCAAGUCGAGGGGCAGCACAGGUAGCAAUACCGGGUGGCGACCGGCGCACGGGUGAGUAACGCGUAUGCAACUUACCUAUCAGAGGGGGAUAACCCGGCGAAAGUCGGACUAAUACCGCAUGAAGCAGGGGUCCCGCAUGGGGAUAUUUGCUAAAGAUUCAUCGCUGAUAGAUAGGCAUGCGUUCCAUUAGGCAGUUGGCGGGGUAACGGCCCACCAAACCGACGAUGGAUAGGGGUUCUGAGAGGAAGGUCCCCCACAUUGGUACUGAGACACGGACCAAACUCAUACGGGAGGCAGCAGUGAGGAAUAUUGGUCAAGGGCCGAGAGGCUGAACCAGCCAAGUCGCGUGAGGGAUGAAGGUUCUAUGGAUCGUAAACCUCUUUUAUAAGGGAAUAAAGUGCGGGACGUGUCCCGUUUUGUAUGUACCUUAUGAAUAAGGAUCGGCUAACUCCGUG
rnacentral:rRNA from 1 species